rnacentral:rRNA from 1 species
GACGAACGCUGGCGGCGUGCCUAAUACAUGCAAGUCGAGCGCAGGAAACUGACGGAACUCUUCGGAGGGAAGGCAGUGGAAUGAGCGGCGGACGGGUGAGUAACACGUAAGGAACCUGCCUCAAGGAUUGGGAUAACUCCGAGAAAUCGGAGCUAAUACCGGAUAGUUCAACGGACCGCAUGGUCCGCUGAUGAAAGGCGCUUCGGCGUCACCUUGAGAUGGCCUUGCGGUGCAUUAGCUAGUUGGUGGGGUAACGGCCCACCAAGGCGACGAUGCAUGGCCGAACUGAGCGGGUGAUCGGCCACACUGGGACUGAGACACGGCCCAGAAUCCUACGGGAGGCAGCAGUAGGGAAUCUUCCACAAUGGACGAAAGUCUGAUGGAGCAACGCCGCGUGAGUGAUGAAGGUUUUCGGAUCGUAAAACUCUGUUGUAAGGGAAGAACACGUACGAGAGGAAAUGCUCGUACCUUGACGGUACCUUACGAGAAAGCCACGGCUAACUACGUGCCAGCCGCCGCAGUAA